UUCUCAGAGAGCUGCUUUCAUAUGGCUGGAUUCUUCUGUCACAGUCUGCAUUUCAUCCUAGGAUUGUCCUGAUUCCCUAAAUGAAUUUUAUUUUUUUUGAGAAAGGGUCUGGCAGCCUCAAACCCCUGGGCUUAGGCUGGUCUCGAACUCCUGGACUCAAGCAAUCCUCCUGCCUUAGCCUCCAAAAGUGCUGGGAUUACAGGCAUGAGCAACUGUAUCCAGCUAAACAACCUCUCUUCUUGCAACACUGUUUCCUUGUGGGCUCAUUAACAUGCUAAUUACCAGAUUCCACAGGAAGAUAGAUUACAGAGCAAUAAGACAGGCUGGGUUCACCCUGGAACAUGACCAGUAGUGACAGCCUCUAUAACAAUGACACAGGUACCAUUACUGAUGCUGGAAAAAGAGAAAAGGACAUCAUUUUGCCCUCAGGGAGCUCACAGUCUAACAGAGGGAGAGGCAUGUGAACAACUACAACUUCUAUAGUAUAAGAAAACACUAAAUUGGAGACAUGAUCAAAGUAGUGCAGGGGAGGGAGUGGAGUGAGACUUCCUGGGGUCAUCCAGAAGGGCUUCACGGCAGGGAACACUACACUUCCUUAAAAAUUAAGAGUGUGUGCUACACUGCUUUACUAGAGCAAGACCAAAAGCAGCUUCAAUUAUGGUACAACUGUGUGAAGACACAAUGCAAAACCACUCAAGAAUGCUCACUCAAAUGGAUCUUUUACGAUGGAAUUCGGAAACGGGACCCAGAAAGUUGUUUCCUGCAAGUGGCUGGAACAACACAAGCAAUAAGUAUCCUGAAACAGGCCCUG
rnacentral:antisense_RNA from 1 species